GUUGUAUGGUUAAGUGACUAAGCGUAUGUGGUGGAUGCCUUGGCAGUUAGAGGCGAUGAAGGACGUGUUAAUCUGCGAAAAGCUGAGUUAAGGUGAUAAAAACCGUUAUAGGCUCAGAUGUCCGAAUGGGGGAACCCACCUGUCGUAAGGCAGGUAUCCUAACGUGAAUACAUAGCGUUAGGAGGCGAACCGGGAGAACUGAAACAUCUAAGUACCCCGAGGAAAAGAAAUCAACCGAGAUUUCCUUAGUAGCGGCGAGCGAACGGGAAUUAGCCCUUAAGCGGUUUGUAAAUUAGUGGAAUGAGCUGGAAAGCUCAGCGAUACAGGGUGAUAGCCCCGUACACGAAAAUAAACUUACCGUGAAAUCGAGUAGGUCGGGACACGAGAAAUCUUGACUGAAUAUGGGGGGACCAUCCUCCAAGGCUAAAUAC
rnacentral:rRNA from 1 species